rnacentral:rRNA from 1 species
UACGGGGGGGGCAAGCGUUGUUCGGAAUUACUGGGCGUAAAGGGCUCGUAGGUGGCCAACUAAGUCAGACGUGAAAUCCCCAGGCUCAACCUGGGAACUGCGUCUGAUACUGGAUGGCUUGAAUUCGGGAGAGGGAUGCAGAAUUCCAGGUGUAGCGGUGAAAUGCGUAGAUAUCUGGAGGAAUACCUGUGGCGAAGGCGACCCCCUGGUUGGAUACUGACGCUGAGACGCGAAAGCGUGGGGAGCAAACAGG